rnacentral:rRNA from 1 species
CCUACGGGAGGCAGCAGUAGGGAAUAUUGGACAAUGGGUGCGAGCCUGAUCCAGCCAUGCCGCGUGCAGGAAGAAGGCCUUCUGGGUUGUAAACUGCUUUUGCCGGGGGAUAAAAGACCCAUGCGUGGGGAAUUGAAGGUACCCGGUGAAUAAGCCACGGCUAACUACGUGCCAGCAGCCGCGGUAAUACGUAGGUGGCGAGCGUUGUCCGGAUUUAUUGGGUUUAAAGGGUGCGUAGGCGGCCCCGUAAGUCAGUGGUGAAAUACGGCAGCUCAACUGUCGAGGUGCCAUUGAUACUGCGGGGCUUGAGUACAGUCGAGGUAGGCGGAAUUGACGGUGUAGCGGUGAAAUGCUUAGGUAUCGUCAAGAACACCGAUAGCGAAGGCAGCUUGCUAGGCUGUAACUGACGCUGAGGCACGAAAGUGCGGGGAUCAAACAGGAUUAGAUACCCUGGUAGUCCGCACAGUAAACGAUGGUCACUCGGUGUUGGCGGUACACGGCCAGCGCCUUAGCGAAAGCGUUAAGUGACCCACCUGGGGAGUACGCCCGCAAGGGUGAAACUCAAAGGAAUUGACGGNNGNGAGNGCGAGCGACGACGAGGGAGAGG